rnacentral:rRNA from 1 species
CGGGACGGGUGAGUAAUGUCUGGGAAACUGCCUGAUGGAGGGGGGUAACUACUGGAAACGGUAGCUAAUACCGCAUAACGUCGCAAGACCAAAGAGGGGGACCUUCGGGCCUCUUGCCAUCGGAUGUGCCCAGAUGGGAUUAGCUAGUGGGUGGGGUAACGGCUCACCUAGGCGACGAUCCCUAGCUGGUCUGAGAGGAUGACCAGCCACACUGGAACUGAGACACGGUCCAG